rnacentral:rRNA from 2 species
AGACCCGAAACCCGGUGAUCUAGCCAUGGGCAGGUUGAAGGUUGGGUAACACUAACUGGAGGACCGAACCGACUAAUGUUGAAAAAUUAGCGGAUGACCUGUGGCUGGGGGUGAAAGGCCAAUCAAACCGGGAGAUAGCUGGUUCUCCCCGAAAGCUAUUUAGGUAGCGCCUCGUGAAUUCAUCUCCGGGGGUAGAGCACUGUUUCGGCUAGGGGGCCAUCCCGGCUUACCAACCCGAUGCAAACUGCGAAUACCGGAGAAUGUUAUCACGGGAGACACACGGCGGGUGCUAACGUCCGUCGUGAAGAGGGAAACAACCCAGACCGCCAGCUAAGGUCCCAAAGUCAUGGUUAAGUGGGAAACGAUGUGGGAAGGCCCAGACAGCCAGGAUGUUGGCUUAGAAGCAGCCAUCAUUUAAAGAAAGCGUAAUAGCUCACUGGUCGAGUCGGCCUGCGCGGAAGAUGUAACGGGGCUAAACCAUGCACCGAAGCUGCGGCAGCGAACGUAUCACCCAAGACAACUUUACGGAGUUGACGAUUGACGGAGCGAAGCGACGUCAAAGCGUUCAUUAAAGUCGAGUUGGCUUAGGGAUACGUUCGUUGGGUAGGGGAGCGUUCUGUAAGCCUGUGAAGGUGUGUCGUGAGGCAUGCUGGAGGUAUCAGAAGUGCGAAUGCUGACAUAAGUAACGAUAAAGCGGGUGAAAAGCCCGCUCGCCGGAAGACCAAGGGUUCCUGUCCAACGUUAAUCGGGGCAGGGUGAGUCGACCCCU